rnacentral:rRNA from 1 species
CGCCGCGUGGAGGAUGAAAUAAUCUUUGGGUAUGUAAACUCCUUUCGAUGGGGAAGAUAAUGACGGUACCCCAUAGAAGAAGCCCCGGCAACUUCGUGC